CGCGGCCUAUCAGCUUGUUGGUGAGGUAAUGGCUCACCAAGGCGACGACGGGUAGCCGGCCUGAGAGGGUGACCGGCCACACUGGGACUGAGACACGGCCUAGACUCCUACGGGAGGCAGCAGUGGGGAAUAUUGCACAAUGGGCGCAAGCCUGAUGCAGCAACGCCGCGUGAGGGAUGACGGCCUUCGGGUUGUAAACCUCUUUUAGUAGGGAAGAAGCGAAAGUGACGGUACCUGCAGAAAAAGCACCGGCUAACUACGUGCCAGCAGCCGCGGUAAUACGUAGGGUGCAAGCGUUGUCCGGAAUUAUUGGGCGUAAAGAGCUCGUAGGCGGCUUGUCGCGUCUGCUGUGAAAACCCGAGGCUCAACCUCGGGCCUGCAGUGGGUACGGGCAAGCUAGAGUGCGGUAGGGGAGAUUGGAAUUCCUGGUGUAGCGGUGGAAUGCGCAGAUAUCAGGAGGAACACCGAUGGCGAAGGCAGAUCUCUGGGCCGUAACUGACGCUGAGGAGCGAAAGCAUGGGGAGCGAACAGGAUUAGAUACCCUGGUAGUCCAUGCCGUAAACGUUGGGAACUAGAUGUAGGGACUGUUCCACGGUUUCUGUGUCGUAGCUAACGCAUUAAGUUCCCCGCCUGGGGAGUACGG
rnacentral:rRNA from 1 species